rnacentral:rRNA from 1 species
AGUGAACGCUGGCGGUAGGCCUAACACAUGCAAGUCGAACGGCAGCACAGUAAGAGCUUGCUCUUACGGGUGGCGAGUGGCGGACGGGUGAGGAAUACAUCGGAAUCUACUUUUUCGUGGGGGAUAACGUAGGGAAACUUACGCUAAUACCGCAUACGACCUACGGGUGAAAGCAGGGGAUCUUCGGACCUUGCGCGAUUGAAUGAGCCGGUGUCGGAUUAGCUAGUUGGCGGGGUAAAGGCCCACCAAGGCGACGAUCCGUAGCUGGUCUGAGAGGAUGAUCAGCCACACUGGAACUGAGACACGGUCCAGACUCCUACGGGAGGCAGCAGUGGGGAAUAUUGGACAAUGGGCGCAAGCCUGAUCCAGCCAUACCGCGUGGGUGAAGAAGGCCUUCGGGUUGUAAAGCCCUUUUGUUGGGAAAGAAAAGCAGCAGGUUAAUACCCCGCUGUUCUGACGGUACCCAAAGAACAAGCACCGGCUAACUUCGUG